AUGCUUAGGUGGCAGGGGAGAUAUCGUGAUCACGAAGGGGGUUUUACCAGGGGGAGGUUGUCCACUGAACUCCAGAUGUGCUGACCCCCGCGAUUCCCCCAACUGUGGGAAACUCAACUGCAUAAUUUGUGGUAGUGGGGCACUGGGUUUGUGCUCCCACCUU
rnacentral:snRNA from 1 species